UUUCAACCCUCAAGCAACAUCUGCUUGGUGUUGGGGACCGGCCGUCAAAAGCCGCCCCCUAAAUCUAUUGGCGAUCUCGCUGUAGCUUCCUAUGCGUAGUAGUAACAUCUCGCAUGUGGAGAGCGGCGCGGUCAUGCCGUAAAACACCCAACUUUUUUCAGGUUGACCUCAGAUCAGGUAGGAAUACCCGCUGAACUUAA
rnacentral:misc_RNA from 1 species